rnacentral:rRNA from 1 species
UGUAUAAGAGACAGCAGCCGCCACGGGAAUACGUAGGUCCCGAGCGUUGUCCGGAUUUAUUGGGCGUAAAGCGAGCGCAGGCGGUUAGAUAAGUCUGAAGUUAAAGGCUGUGGCUUAACCAUAGUACGCUUUGGAAACUGUUUAACUUGAGUGCAAGAGGGGAGAGUGGAAUUCCAUGUGUAGCGGUGAAAUGCGUAGAUAUAUGGAGGAACACCGGUGGCGAAAGCGGCUCUCUGGCUUGUAACUGACGCUGAGGCUCGAAAGCGUGGGGAGCAAACAGGAUUAGAUACCCCGGUAGUCCCUGUCUCUUAUACA